rnacentral:lncRNA from 1 species
AGGCUAUAGACAGGGGGUACCGGUACAGAGUCAAUGUGGAGGCUAUAUACAGGGGGUACCGGUACAGAGUCAAUGUGGAGGCUAUAUACAGGGGGUACCGGUACAGAGUCAAUGUGGAGGCUAUACACAGGUGGUACCGGUACAGAGUCAAUGUGGAGGCUAUAUACAGGGGGUACCGGUACAGAGUCAAUGUGGAGGCUAUAUACAGGGGGUACCGGUACAGAGUCAAUGUGGAGGCUAUAUACAGGGGGUACUGGUACAGAGUCAAUGUGGAGGCCAUAUACAGGGGGUACCGGUACAGAGUCAAUGUGGAGGCUAUAUACAGGGUAUUACGGUACAGAGUCAAUGUGGAGGCUAUAUACAGGGGGUACCGGUACAGAGUCAAUGUGGAGGCUAUAUACAGGGGGUACCGGUACAGUGUCAAUGUGGAGGCUAUAUACAGGGGGUACCGGUACAGAGUCAAUGUGGAG